rnacentral:rRNA from 1 species
CAGUCGCCGCAGGAAUACCGAGGGUGCGAGCGUUAAUCGGAUUUACUGGGCGUAAAGCGUGCGUAGGCGGCUUCUUAAGUCGGAUGUGAAAUCCCUGAGCUUAACUUAGGAAUUGCAUUCGAUACUGGGAAGCUAGAGUAUGGGAGAGGAUGGUAGAAUUCCAGGUGUAGCGGUGAAAUGCGUAGAGAUCUGGAGGAAUACCGAUGGCGAAGGCAGCCAUCUGGCCUAAUACUGACGCUGAGGUACGAAAGCAUGGGGAGCAAACAGGAUUAGAUACCCCGGUAGUCCCUGUCUCUUAUAC